UUAAGUUAUUAAGGGCGCACGGUGGAUGCCUUGGCACUAGAAGCCGAUGAAGGACGUUACUAACGACGAUAUGCUUUGGGGAGCUGUAAGUAAGCUUUGAUCCAGAGAUUUCCGAAUGGGGAAACCCAGCAUGAGUUAUGUCAUGUUAUCGAUAUGUGAAUACAUAGCAUAUCAGAAGGCACACCCGGAGAACUGAAACAUCUUAGUACCCGGAGGAAGAGAAAGAAAAUUCGAUUCCCUUAGUAGCGGCGAGCGAAACGGGAAGAGCCCAAACCAACAAGCUUGCUUGUUGGGGUUGUAGGACACUCUAUACGGAGUUACAAAGGACGACAUUAGACGAAUCAUCUGGAAAGAUGAAUCAAAGAAGGUAAUAAUCCUGUAGUCGAAAAUGUUGUCUCUCUUGAGUGGAUCCUGAGUACGACGGAGCACGUGAAAUUCCGUCGGAAUCUGGGAGGACCAUCUCCUAAGGCUAAAUACUCUCUAGUGACCGAUAGUGAACCAGUACCGUGAGGGAAAGGUGAAAAGCACCCCGGAAGGGGAGUGAAAUAGAACCUGAAACCGUGUGCUUACAAGUAGUCAGAGCCCGUUAAUGGGUGAUGGCGUGCCUUUUGUAGAAUGAACCGGCGAGUUACGAUUUGAUGCAAGGUUAAGCAGUAAAUGUGGAGCCGUAGCGAAAGCGAGUCUGAAUAGGGCGUUUAGUAUUUGGUCGUAGACCCGAAACCAGGUGAUCUACCCUUGGUCAGGUUGAAGUUCAGGUAACACUGAAUGGAGGACCGAACCGACUUACGUUGAAAAGUGAGCGGAUGAACUGAGGGUAGCGGAGAAAUUCCAAUCGAACCUGGAGAUAGCUGGUUCUCUCCGAAAUAGCUUUAGGGCUAGCCUCAAGUGAUGAUUAUUGGAGGUAGAGCACUGUUUGGACGAGGGGCCCCUCUCGGGUUACCGAAUUCAGACAAACUCCGAAUGCCAAUUAAUUUAACUUGGGAGUCAGAACAUGGGUGAUAAGGUCCGUGUUCGAAAGGGAAACAGCCCAGACCACCAGCUAAGGUCCCAAAAUAUAUGUUAAGUGGAAAAGGAUGUGGCGUUGCCCAGACAACUAGGAUGUUGGCUUAGAAGCAGCCAUCAUUUAAAGAGUGCGUAAUAGCUCACUAGUCGAGUGACACUGCGCCGAAAAUGUACCGGGGCUAAACAUAUUACCGAAGCUGUGGAUUGUCCUUUGGACAAUGGUAGGAGAGCGUUCUAAGGGCGUUGAAGCAUGAUCGUAAGGACAUGUGGAGCGCUUAGAAGUGAGAAUGCCGGUGUGAGUAGCGAAAGACGGGUGAGAAUCCCGUCCACCGAUUGACUAAGGUUUCCAGAGGAAGGCUCGUCCGCUCUGGGUUAGUCGGGUCCUAAGCUGAGGCCGACAGGCGUAGGCGAUGGAUAACAGGUUGAUAUUCCUGUACCACCUAUAAUCAUUUUAAUCGAUGGGGGGACGCAGUAGGAUAGGCGAAGCGUGCGAUUGGAUUGCACGUCUAAGCAGUAAGGCUGAGUAUUAGGCAAAUCCGGUACUCGUUAAGGCUGAGCUGUGAUGGGGAGAAGACAUUGUGUCUUCGAGUCGUUGAUUUCACACUGCCGAGAAAAGCCUCUAGAUAGAAAAUAGGUGCCCGUACCGCAAACCGACACAGGUAGUCAAGAUGAGAAUUCUAAGGUGAGCGAGCGAACUCUCGUUAAGGAACUCGGCAAAAUGACCCCGUAACUUCGGGAGAAGGGGUGCUCUUUAGGGUUAACGCCCAGAAGAGCCGCAGUGAAUAGGCCCAAGCGACUGUUUAUCAAAAACACAGGUCUCUGCUAAACCGUAAGGUGAUGUAUAGGGGCUGACGCCUGCCCGGUGCUGGAAGGUUAAGAGGAGUGGUUAGCUUCUGCGAAGCUACGAAUCGAAGCCCCAGUAAACGGCGGCCGUAACUAUAACGGUCCUAAGGUAGCGAAAUUCCUUGUCGGGUAAGUUCCGACCCGCACGAAAGGCGUAACGAUUUGGGCACUGUCUCAACGAGAGACUCGGUGAAAUCAUAGUACCUGUGAAGAUGCAGGUUACCCGCGACAGGACGGAAAGACCCCGUGGAGCUUUACUGUAGCCUGAUAUUGAAAUUCGGCACAGCUUGUACAGGAUAGGUAGGAGCCUUUGAAACGUGAGCGCUAGCUUACGUGGAGGCGCUGGUGGGAUACUACCCUAGCUGUGUUGGCUUUCUAACCCGCACCACUUAUCGUGGUGGGAGACAGUGUCAGGCGGGCAGUUUGACUGGGGCGGUCGCCUCCUAAAAGGUAACGGAGGCGCUCAAAGGUUCCCUCAGAAUGGUUGGAAAUCAUUCAUAGAGUGUAAAGGCAUAAGGGAGCUUGACUGCGAGACCUACAAGUCGAGCAGGGUCGAAAGACGGACUUAGUGAUCCGGUGGUUCCGCAUGGAAGGGCCAUCGCUCAACGGAUAAAAGCUACCCCGGGGAUAACAGGCUUAUCUCCCCCAAGAGUUCACAUCGACGGGGAGGUUUGGCACCUCGAUGUCGGCUCAUCGCAUCCUGGGGCUGUAGUCGGUCCCAAGGGUUGGGCUGUUCGCCCAUUAAAGCGGUACGCGAGCUGGGUUCAGAACGUCGUGAGACAGUUCGGUCCCUAUCCGUCGUGGGCGUAGGAAAUUUGAGAGGAGCUGUCCUUAGUACGAGAGGACCGGGAUGGACAUACCUCUGGUGUACCAGUUGUCGUGCCAACGGCAUAGCUGGGUAGCUAUGUGUGGACGGGAUAAGUGCUGAAAGCAUCUAAGCAUGAAGCCCCCCUCAAGAUGAGAUUUCCCAACUUCGGUUAUAAGAUCCCUCAAAGAUGAUGAGGUUAAUAGGUUCGAGGUGGAAGCAUGGUGACAUGUGGAGCUGACGAAUACUAAUCGAUCGAAGACUUAAUCAA
rnacentral:rRNA from 2 species